rnacentral:rRNA from 1 species
GUCAGCUCGUGUCGUGAGAUGUUGGGUUAAGUCCCGCAACGAGCGCAACCCCUACUUGUUAGUUGCCAUCAUUCAGUUGGGCACUCUAGCGAGACUGCCGGUAAUAAACCGGAGGAAGGUGGGGAUGACGUCAAAUCAUCAUGCCCCUUAUGACCUGGGCUACACACGUGCUACAAUGGUUGGUACAACGAGUUGCGAGUCGGUGACGGCGAGCUAAUCUCUUAAAGCCAAUCUCAGUUCGGAUUGUAGGCUGCAACUCGCCUACAUGAAGUCGGAAUCGCUAGUAAUCGCGGAUCAGCACGCCGCGGUGAAUACGUUCCCGGGCCUU